GCAGGGCCGUGUCCUCUCGUGUGUUGUCCUCAAAACCAGAGCCACCGCGGCGCCCGAACAGAGGCGCUGUCGCGUCUCCAAAGGCGGUGCUGAACGUGGCCAACACACACCCUUGUCGCGUGUGGCGGGUCGCGUGCUGUGAAUGAAUUCCCUCUUGUCCCAAGUCCACACCGGAGCCGAUCGUCUCCAGGGUGCCCACGGGGCGCGUCCUUGUGUCCCCGCGCUACCUUUUGUCUGUCUAGUGGCUUCGUGGGCAGAGAAGGACGUUUUCUGAGAAGGGGGAUCUGAAGGUUCAGCAGGCCGCCUUGGGAGGAAGGUGGGGGCCUUCGGUUCCGGACGCGUUUCUCCCCGGGCGCAGCUGCGAGGCAGGAUUCAGUCCGAAGAUUUCGGAGGUGGAAGGACCUGCCAACCGAUCCAGACGGUGCAGUGGCCAUUCCCGAAACCCUUGCCCCCGAGGGGGUGUAGCUCAGCGGGAGAGCGCGUGCUUAGCGUGCACGAGGCCCCGGGUUCGAUCCCCGGCACCUCCAAGCGUUCGGAGCCGGGUAGCUCGGCCCGGUACUUUUCCAUCUCCGCAAAGUGCGCACUUCAGUUGUCCCUUGAUCUCCCGACCAGACUGCUUCGCACAGUACAGAAUCCACCCGAAGGGAGAGCACGGGACCGCUUUCGUUAUUAGUCACCUCGGGGCGACGGGGUUAUUCACCGCCUUCCUCCUCAAGGUCGUCUCCCUCUGGGCGCGCGCUCCGGCCAUUUCCCAGCGACGACGGAGCCUCGCCGGGCGAUUCCGGGCAGAGGAGCGCAGGGGUGAACCGGAGAGCGACACGCGGUCAAAGGAGAGAGUCAGGAAGGUACAGUUUCCGCACGGGGACAAGAGAGCCCGAUGGAAAGUGACAGGAGAACCGACCAUCCGGGAUCCCUUCCAACAACAGCAGGGAAGCCGCUGUGGUGAUCGAGCAUUUCCUGCCCGGGUGACAGGAGAAGCUUUGGCGGUGCAAAGGCCCUGGGGUACUGAUGCGGGAAAUCUGUGAUACAGCCAGGCUGCCCCGAGGAGGAGCUGCACGUUUGGGGUUCCAACCUGAGUUGAGCAGCUGCUGGAGAGCUUCCCUGAGGCCGUUCCAGGGCUCCACACCAAUCACAGCGAGGCCAAGGCCAUAAAGAGCAGGAGCAGGAUCGUGCCCAGAGAACCCGCGCGAGGCAAAGUGGAGGAAGGUGGUCCCAGCGGUUUCCCUUGCUGGUUCCUGUGCCCAGUCGGGAGUCAGGAGGAAGAAUCACAAGGGACGCUCGCUCGCUCAGCCUUUGCUCAGAUCUUGCCAGUGGAAUCGAGUCCUCAGGCUUGAUGUGACUCUGUCGUCCCCAGUUCCAGAUCUUUCUCUUUUGUUUCCUUCAAUCAAAUGUUCCUUGGGAAGACAGACAUCAUCAGUAACGACGAGGCCCGUGGCGUUGAGAUGGGUCAGGAGCAAAGGCAGCCCAUGCAGGGUAUGAACCGAACUCUGAUGUAAACAGGGCAAAGUGAG